AUUGAACGCUGGCGGCAGGCCUAGCACAUGCAAGUCGAGGGGUAGAAGUUGCUUGCAACUUUGAGACCGGCGCACGGGUGCGUAACGCGUAUGCAACCUACCUUUUACAGAGGGAUAGCCCAGAGAAAUUUGGAUUAAUACCUCAUAGUAUAUAAUCUUCGCAUGUUGGUUAUAUUAAAGUUCCAACGGUAAAAGAUGGGCAUGCGUCCUAUUAGCUAGUUGGUGUGGUAACGGCACACCAAGGCGACGAUAGGUAGGGGUCCUGAGAGGGGGAUCCCCCACACUGGGACUGAGACACGGACCAGACUCCUACGGGAGGCAGCAGUGAGGAAUAUUGGACAAUGGGCGCAAGCCUGAUCCGGCCAUGCCGCGUGCAGGAAGAAGCAUCUAUGGUGUGUAAACUGCUUUUGUACAGGAAGAAACACCCCUUCGUGAAGGGACUUGACGGUACUGUAAGAAUAAGGAUCGGCUAACUCCGUGCCAGCAGCCGCCGUAAAAC
rnacentral:rRNA from 1 species